rnacentral:rRNA from 1 species
AACGAACGCUGGCGGCGUGCUUAACACAUGCAAGUCGAACGAGAAAGUUCCUUCGGGAAUGAGUAUAGUGGCGCACGGGUGAGUAAUACAUAGGAACGUACCAAUUGGUGGGGAAUAACCACGGGAAACUGUGGCUAAUACCGCAUGUGGUCGCAAGACUAAAGGAGGCCUCUACUUGUAAGCUUUCGCCAAUUGAUCGGCUUAUGUCCCAUUAGCUUGUUGGUAGGGUAAAAGCCUACCAAGGCAACGAUGGGUAGCUGGUCUGAGAGGAUGAUCAGCCACACUGGAACUGAGACACGGUCCAG